rnacentral:rRNA from 1 species
CAAGGUAACGCUUACCAAGGCGACGAUGGGUAGGGGUCCUGAGAGGGAAGAUCCCCCACACUGGUACUGAGACACGGACCAGACUCCUACGGGAGGCAGCAGUGAGGAAUAUUGGUCAUGGGCGCAAGCCUGAACCAAAGCCAUGCCGCGUGCAGGAUGACGGUCCUAUGGAUUGUAAACUGCUUUUGUACGAGAAGAAACACCCCGACGUGUCGGGACUUGACGGUAUCGUAAGAAUAAGGAUCGGCUAACUCCGUGCCAGCAGCCGCGUAAUACGGAGGAUCCAAGCGUUAUCCGGAAUCAUUGGGUUUAAAGGGUCCGUAGGCGGUCUUGUAAGUCAGUGGUGAAACCCAUCGCUCAACGAUGGAACGGCCAUUGAUACUGCAGGACUUGAAUUACCAGGAAGCAACUAGAAUAUGUAGUGUAGCGGUGAAAUGCUUAGAGAUUACAUGGAGAUACCAAUUGCGAAGGCAGGUUGCUACUGGUGGAUUGACGCUGAUGGACGAAAGCGUGGGUAGCGAAAAGGAUUAGAUACCCUGGUAGUCCACGCCGUAAACGAUGGAUACUAGCUGUUGGGGGCGACCUCAGUGGCUAAGCGGAAGUGAUAAGUAUCCCACCUGGGGAGUACGUUCGCAAGAAUGAAACUCAAAGGAAUUGACGGGGGCCCGCACAGCGGUGGAGAUGUGGUUUAAUUCGAUGAUACGCGAGGAACCUUACCAAGGCUUAAAUGCAGACUGACCGUUUUGGAAACAAAACUUUCGCAAGACAGUCUACAAGGUGCUGCAUGGUUGUCGUCAGCUCGUGGCGUGAGGUGUCAGGUUAAGUCCUAUAACGGCGCAACCCCUGUUUUUAGUUGCCAGCGAGUAGUGUC